UAUGACUACAGUGAGUAAAAACGAGGUUACAGUGAGUAAAAACGAGAUUACAGUGAGUAAAAACGAGAUUACAGUGAGUAAAAAUGAGGCUACAGUGAGUAAAAACAAGGCUACAGUGAGUAAAAACAAGGUUACAGUGAGUAAAAAUGAAGUUACAGUGAGUAAAAAUGAAGUUACAGUGAGUAAAAAUGAGGUUACAGUGGGUAGAAAUGAGGCUACAGUGAGUAAAGAUGAGGUUACAGUGAGUAAAAUGAGGCUGCAGAGAGCAAAAACGAGGCUACAGUGAGUAGAAAUGAGGCUACAGUGAGUAAAAAUGAGGUAACUGAGUAAAUAUGAGGUUACAGUGAGUAAAAAUGAGGCUACAGUGAGUAAAAAUGCGACAGGAGAAGCUUGCGGGUUCAGAGGGUUACAGUGUUUCAGGUUAAAGACAAACAGAGAAGAUGAAU